rnacentral:lncRNA from 1 species
GGGCUGUAUAGGAUAACAAGCUGAGAGUAAGCCAGGGACCAAAUUCCUCCAUGAUCUGCUUCAAUUACUGCCUCCAGGUUCCUGCCUUGAAUUCCAGUCCUGGCUUCCCUCAAAGAUGCACUGUAAGCUGAAAUGCCUGCCCCCAAGUUGUUUUGGUUAGUUUUAUCAUAGCAACCGAAAGCAAACUAGAACAACUUUCUCGAUCCCUCAGUCCUUCUCUCCCUUUCUUCUCACUUUCUUCCUUCUGCGUCAGUAUCAUCUUCUCCACUAAGAGUGUGCUUGUUUACAUGGAAGCUGAAUUUGAGCAAAGCAGCUUGGGAGAAAGUGUUCUAUCAGAGAGACUUAGGGGUUAGUGUUGCCAAUUUGACCCAAGCUAGAAUCCUCUGGAAAGAGGGGACCUCAAUUGAGAAAAUGCUUCCAGGAGAUACAGUUUUAAGGAAUUUUCUUAAUUAGUGAUUGCUAGGGAAGGGCUCAGCCCAUUGUGGAUGGUACCAUCACUGGGCUGGUGGUUCUGGAUUCUAUAAGAAAGAAGUGUACUAAGCCAGGAGGAGCAAGCCAGUAAGCAGCAUCCCUCCAUGGCCUCUGUAUCAACCCGCUGGAGUUCCUGUCCUGGCUUCCUUCAAUGACUGCCUGACCAUAGCUGAGCUGAUAUCUGAUCAUUAUAUUCUGCUCAGGAGUCUCCUAGGAUUCAUAGCCACUGUACCUCAAGAUCUCCAUGCCAAGAUCCAGGUCAGAAACUUGUAUCUCCCAGCCUCAAGAUCUGGAUCACAGAAGAGGGCAUCAGAUACUACAACCUGGCCAUCAGCCCCCCCCCCCAUGCCUGCUUUCUCUCCGUGGACCCCACUUUUCUGUCUCCUCCUCUGCACAGCAUCUCAAUGAAUUAGCCUGAGAGCUGUACCCAAUAAACCUGCCUUUAUAUACUUUA